AUAUUAUUUUUAUUGCAGUUCGCGCUUUAGCGUUACCUUCAGCUAAAUACUGUGUUGGUAUAGCACUUUAGUUUAACUUCCUCUAAGUACCAUGUUAGUAAAAUGCCUUAACAUUAACUUCCAUUAAAUACCACGUUUGUAAAAUGCUUUAGCGUUAGCUUCUGAUAAAUACUGUGCCGGUAUAGAGCAUUUUGUGAAAUGCUCUAUACCGGCACUAGUGGAAGCUAGUGCCUUAACAUUAGCUUCCACAAAAUAGUGCAUUGGUGUAGCACUUUAGCUUCCACUAAAUAUUGUGCUGAUAUACUGCUUUUGCUUUAUCUUGUAUUAAAUACUGUGUUGGUAUAGUG